rnacentral:misc_RNA from 1 species
GGACGGUGCACAGCACAGGCCACAGGGACGCUAUUCAAUCCAAAAUCCUAUCUUUGUCCCCUCUCUUCUUUCCUCUUUGGCUCCACUCUCCAAUUUCCAUUUUCAUUCUCUCUCUUGAAGGUCACCUCCAUUUCUCCUCCUCCGCAUUCAACUAUGGCUGAAGCCUGAGGACUAAUCCAUAAUCUCUCAUUUCUUUCAGCUUUCUUUCUGUCCUUUCGUUAAUCUCAAGAUGAGUUCAGUGAAUUUGGGCUCAUGGGUUCACACCUCCUACGUCUUAAACCAAGCUACCAGAUCCAGAUCCAAAUCCAAAUCCUUCUCUCUACCUUUCAAUCCUCUAAAAAGUUUAGCAAUUUCCUUUGCUUAUAGAAAAUCAGAGCGACCCAUUUCAUCUGUCUCUGCGAUUAUUACCAAGGAAGAAGAAACUCUUCAAGAAGAGCAGAAUAAUCCACCACCCUCUUUUGAUUUCAAAUCCUACAUGCUCCAAAAAGCCAAUUCCAUUAACCAAGCUUUAGAAGCUGCCAUUCCACUCCAAGAACCCGCUAAAAUUCACGAGUCUAUGCGUUAUUCCCUCUUGGCCGGCGGCAAGAGGGUACGACCGGCCCUCUGCCUCGCUGCGUGUGAGCUUGUUGGUGGGAAUGACUCCAUGGCGAUGCCUGCUGCAUGCGCUGUGGAAAUGAUUCAUACUAUGUCUCUCAUCCAUGAUGACCUCCCUUGCAUGGAUAACGACGAUCUUCGCCGUGGCAAGCCCACCAAUCACAUCGUGUUUGGAGAGGACGUGGCGGUUCUCGCCGGUGACGCACUCCUAGCAUUUGCUUUUGAACACAUCGCUGUUUCUACUUUAAA